CUAAGUCAGGAACCCAGUUCCCGUGGCAACCACCCGGGGGCGUGGCCUUUGUCAGGGCAUCUCUAUGGCUUCUUCAUCCUAGAAGGACCGAAGUGUACUUCCGGGAAGAUGGCUGCACCCAAGUCCUGUGUGACACGUGCUUUUACUGAGAGGACCCGGCACUGACGAGGAGGGUGCCACAUCUUCCCUGGUGAGACCGUGAGGACGCAGCCUCUCUGCCCACCAUGAGUGUCACCCCAGUGGCCAAGAGUCGUGGGAUGAAGUUUGCUGAGGAGCAGCUGCUGAAGCAUGGAUGGACUCAAGGCAAGGGCCUGGGCCGGAGAGAGAACGGCAUCACCCAGGCCCUCAAGGUGACACUGAAGCAAGACACGCACGGGGUGAGACCGCGAGGUGGUCAGCAUGAGUGGGGGCAGGGACUGGAGGGCCGG